CAUUGUUUUGAGAGGAGGGUUUUAGUGGGUUAUGCAUAGGAAUCUUGUUUUUGAGUUUUUGUUUGAAUGUAGAAAAGCUGGGUUACUGAUGAAUUCAAAGGUUGUGGUGUGACUCAAGGGGUGGAACUCUCCACUUUGUCACCCACCUUCACACUUUUAAGCUCAUUUUCUGGAUUCUACAGUUACAUAUUAUCACAAGCUGAGUACUGUUUGAGGGGAGCUUCUGGGGAGCUUCGGACUUCUAGAGAUUCUAUGAUAAGCUGCAGGUAAUCGUUAAAGGUGUCAGGUCAACAUCCCAUGCCAUGCCUCUCCUCCACUGGCCAACAACCGCUCCUUGCCUCACUCAGAUCCACCACUACCAGCACCUUCACCUCUUCAAUACGCACAACCCCCGCCUUAGAGCUACCUUCUCAUCUCUCCCUGCCAUCUGCCUUCAUAUCCACGACAGCAACAACCCAGUUCGACCCUUUCCUAGUAUUCCGUUGAGCAGGUGCCAUGCAGCCACUGAUCCGGCACCCUCUAAGAUACCAGUAGGCGAUGGCAGUGUGUUGGAGGCUGGAGUAGUAGGUUGGCGAGAUCUGCUUCUGCAAGUUGGCGAGGUGCUGUCGCUUGGGUUCCCGGUCUGGGUGGCAUCCGCUUGUGCAGUUGCACUGUGGCAGCCAUCAGCCUUCCUCUGGGUCAGUCCCAUGGCUCAGAUUAUCGGCAUCUCGUUUACCAUGCUGGGAAUGGGUAUGACAUUGACAUUAGAUGACCUGAAAACUGCACUAUUGAUGCCCAAGGAAUUAGCUGCUGGAUUUGUACUUCAAUACUCGGUGAUGCCACUGUCAGGAUAUUUUGUGAGCAAGCUAUUAAAUUUACCACCCUAUUACGCUGCUGGGUUGAUAUUGGUGUCCUGUUGUCCUGGAGGCACAGCAAGCAACAUUGUUACCUAUUUAGCAAGGGGAAAUGUUGCUCUUUCGGUACUGAUGACAGCAGCAAGCACUUUUGCUGCAGCGUUCAUAACUCCUUUUCUGACAUCCAAACUAGCUGGACAAUAUGUGGCAGUAGAUCCAAUGGGAUUGUUUGUGUCAACAUCUCAGGUUGUCCUGGCACCUGUCCUACUCGGUGCUCUACUUAAUCAGUACUGCAACGGUUUAGUUCAGUUAGUUUCUCCCUUGAUGCCAUUCAUUGCUGUGGCAACUGUAGCUGUUCUUUGUGGCAAUGCUAUUGCACAGAAUGCUUCAGCCAUUCUAUCAUCCGGUCUCCAAGUGGUUAUGUCUGUUUGUUGGUUGCAUGCAUCUGGCUUUUUCUUUGGCUAUGUUCUUUCAAGAAUGCUUGGAAUCGACAUCUCUUCGUCACGAACAAUCUCUAUUGAGGUUGGCAUGCAGGUCAGGCGGUUUGGGUGAGCUUUCUUUUGGCUACAAGGGGUCAUGAGCCUGGCUCAGUCUCUGCACAGAUCCUAGGACCUCUUUUCUUUCUAGCUGUCUCUUUUGGCUACGGUCUUCUUUCUUUGGUUUGCUGCGUUGGUCGGGUUCUGCUGUAGCAACUUGGUGCGCUGGUGUUGUUCGUCCCAUUGUGUGCAUUACCUGUUUAGAGUCUGUUGUGCUGCCUGCAAGUCAGGCAUGGCAGGGCUAGGGGGCGACAGCGACAUCUGGAGGCGCGGGCGGCGGGAAGGCUGCGCCGCUGCGGUGGUGCAACUCCGACGUAGGCCGGUGGUCCGCGUCAGUAAUACUAGUUGCUCAUGUUAAUGGUCGUCAAUGGUGCCUAGCUAGCUGGAUCAUGUUCAAUCUGUACCAAGCUAGUGCGCAGAAGCAUCUCUGUUUGCCAGAUUGUAGUUGUUUGAUGAUUUCGAAAUUAUUUUAGUACUAUAUUGGGUAAAAAAACUACAUGUCUUUUUGAUACUUUUAGUUUAUUUUUUUGUGCCAUCCUCUCCUGCUGUCCCGGAGUUCGCAGCUGCUAAAGUUGCUGGUGAGCAAUACUACCAGUCUACUAGUGAUCAUGGUUAACUAAAUUGCAACCUGAAGGACAAAUGGUAAGCCAGUGCAGUAGUGCUGCAAAAUGCUCCUUAAUUAUUUUGGAUUUUCACAAAUUGAAGGAGAAAUGGAACUGAUCAUGAGGGAACUUCAAUCUGAAUCCUCAUU